UGUGCUAGGGAGAACAAGAUGUAAAAUCCUUUCCAUUCUGGAUCAGCUUGGGAUUUUAGAAAAUACAAUACAAUAAUAUUUGUUACCCUUACAACAACAACUUCUCAUGGCAAGGAAAUUCUUUCUCUCUCUACCUAUCAUAAAUGAUGCUUUUUAAUUUCUCUUAGAGCUAGGAAAUCUCAUGAUUUUAGGGUGACAGAAAUACCUAAAUUAAUCUCUUUUAUUUGGUGGGUUUUUCUUUUUUUUUUUCUCUUUUUUCUUUUUUUUGUUUUUACUGUAGAAAAUCCAGCAUAACUGACUGACAAAAUGUUUUAAAGCCAAACAAGUCCAUUUUGUGUUUUAGAUUUCAGCCUUCCAAGUUCUGAUGUAACAAACAACUUAAAACCCAGUCUUCAUCCACAGAUGGACUUGCUAGCCUUGGAGAAUACAGAGAUACCCCCGUUUGCCCAAAGGACCAGCCAAAACCUCACCUCAAGCCAUGCAUAUGAUAACGUAAGUAACAAAACUCUUUUCUAGCAGUGAAUCUAGUCAGC
rnacentral:sRNA from 1 species